rnacentral:rRNA from 1 species
CAGCAGCCGCGGUAAUACGGGAAGGGCAAGCGUUAUCCGGCAUGACUGGGCGUAAAGAGUCCGUAGACUGUAAAGUAAGUUUUUUGUUAAAUUUUAAGACCUAAUCUUAAACUUGCAAUUAAUACUGCUUUACUUUGAGUUUAAUACAGAAAAGUGGAAUUUUAUACGACGGGGGUGAAAUCCGUAGAUAUAUAAAGGAACGCCAACAGCGAAGGCAACUUUUUGGUAUAAACUGACGUUGAGGGACGAAAGCGUGGGUAGCAAACAGGAUUAGAGACCCUGGUAGUCCACGCCGUAAAUUCUGAGUGCUGUAAUUUAAUUGUAAUAUUUUUUGUUAUUACUUAGAUUUUCAAGCUAACGCAAUAAGCACUCCGCCUGAGGAGUACGAUCGCAAGAUUGGAACUCAAAGGAAUUGACGGGGUCUAACACUAGUGGUGGAGCAUGUGGUUUAAUGCGAUAAUCCGCGCAAAAUCUUACCUAUUCUUGACUUAUUUAAACAAUUAUGCAAAUUAAUAAUGGUUUUUAUGUAAGAUGUUCUUUUACAGGUGUUGCACGACUGUCGUCAGCUCGUGUCGUGAGACGUCUGGUUAAGUCCUGAAACGGGCGCAACUCUUGCUUUUUACGAAGUUUUUACAGAUUAAAAGUUUUUAUUGUAUGAGAAUCUUUUAAAUGCUUUAAAAGUUACGGUACACGAUAAGUUGAAGGAAGGUGAGAAUGAAGUCAGACAAAAAAGAAAUUUCGAGCUAAUCAACAAAAAUUUUCCCAGUUCGGAUUGUAAACUGCAACUCGUUUACAUGAAGUUGGAAUCACUAGUAAUCGCAAAUCAGCACGUUGCGGUGAACAUGUAACUUGGCCUUGUACACACCGCCCGUCACAUGCGAAGAAUCAGUUUCGCUUGAAGAUUUUAAUAAAAUCCAUUGAGAGAUUGAUAAUUUGGAUGAAGUCGUAACAAGGUACCCGU